rnacentral:rRNA from 1 species
GACGAACGCUGGCGGCGUGCUUAACACAUGCAAGUCGAACGGAAAGGCCUCUUUCGGGGGGUACUCGAGUGGCGAACGGGUGAGUAACACGUGAGUAACCUGCCCUUGACUUUGGGAUAACUUCAGGAAACUGGGGCUAAUACCGGAUAGGAGCUCCUGCUGCAUGGUGGGGGUUGGAAAGUUUCGGCGGUUGGGGAUGGACUCGCGGCUUAUCCGCUUGUUGGUGGGGUAGUGGCUUACCAAGGCUUUGACGGGUAGCCGGCCUGAGAGGGUGACCGGCCACAUUGAGACUGAGAUACGGCCCAGACUCCUACGGGAGGCAGCAGUGGGGAAUAUUGCACAAUGGGUGGAAGCCUGAUGCAGCAACGCCGUGUGCGGGAUGACGGCCUUAGGGUUGUAAACCGAUUUCGCUCAUGACGAAGCUUUGUGUGACGGUAGUGGGUAAAGAAGCACCGGCUAACUACGUG